UAGCUGGAUUCAUUAAGACUAGGAUAUGUUGACCAAUUUUAUAAUGCGGGCUUUCAAUUUCUUUUUUAGGAAGUUUGAAAAACAAAGAAGCAUGUAAACUUUCAUGAAAGUUUAAUAAGGUAACAUUUGACUUUCAAUUCAGACUAGAGCAAAUUAAUGUUUUUAUUUCUGCAUUAAAUUUAUUUAUGGUAUUUUGCAGGUGAUUCAUAUUGUUGGUUUCUAUUUCAUUCCUGACAUUUAGACCAAAAACCAAUAUUUCUUGGCCGCAGUUUCUGCAAUUACUGCAGUAAUUUUCUGGUGGAUAUCCUUAGCCUAGAUAAAUUUGUUUAGGACUUCAAGAAGAAACUUUGUAAAAAUGAAGAGAGGCCUUUAGAAGCGUUAACUGAUCAGUGAGUGGUAUAACUGGCACUAUAAAUUAAGUAAAAUUGAAACUGGAGAUAUCUUCAGCCAUCUGCCUUCUUUUAUUUAAAUAAAGCAUCCAUCAUAAUGGUAGCCAGUUAAUACGUUUGUUUCUGAUGUACAGUUAAAUAGACAUUUUGCUUAGGUAAAGAAUAUUUUAAACAUGUUUUACAUUCUUUGUGUAAAUCCUUGACUUUACUAACUAAAUACAGACCAUGCACACAUUGCCUCUUUGUUGCAAUGUGGUGAAGCUUUCCCUUCACCAACACCCUCUUCUUCGCUGUGUUGGGUAUGUACCUCUUUAGAAUUCUCUCUAUAUAUGUAGUUUGCCACAAAAUAGCCAGCCAUCUGGUUUAUGACACAGUGAAUGGACACUGUAUAAAGGUAAUGAUCUGUAUUACCUGCAGGUAUUGAAUGCAUGUUGUUUUAGAACAAUUUAGUAGCAUCUGAACAGUGGAUAGCCCUGAAAAAAAUUAAGAAUAUCUUCACAAUUACGAUUAAUGCUGAUGUGGAUGGAUUUGAUGAACUUCUGCACUUGACAUCUUUUGUUAGGGAUGUUUGUAUGAAACUGAUAUUGAUUUAUUAACAUAUUUGCAAAUAUGCUUGUGCAUUUUCUUUCAGGAGGGUAUUGUAUGUGCAAAAAAAGUAAUUUUGUGCAGUAACCUCUCAAGUGAGAGACUGUUAUUUGAUUUUCAAUGGCAGGAGGGCAGCAGAUUAUUACCAUACCUGUUCCUUUCUCACUUGUUAAUUCCCAAUAGGUGUGCAGAUAGAACACAGUAAUUUUGUGCUGUAACCUCUCAGAACAUCUCAAGUGAGAGAAUGUUAUUUGACUUUCAUUGGCAGGAGUGCAGCAGAUUACUAUAGGGUAUGAAGAUAUGGAGCAUAAAGCAAAGUCAAUGGUUCUCCUAAACAACGUAUUAGCAAGAAAAUGGUAAAUUUCUGACACCUUUUUCUGCAUAGCCACAAAGAACACAAGAAUAAAAAUUGUAUUUUAAAAUAUUAUGUAAUCUGGAAUCUGAAAAGAGAUUGCCUUACCUUUAUAUUAAAUCUUCUAAAACAUAAAUGCUGACUCUGCCAUUUUAUUCAAACAACUUUUGGCAAAAAUUCACAGAAGUCAGCAAAUACUGUUAGCAAAGUUUAGUUUCAAAUAUAAGCAAAUAAUUAUGCACUCUGCUCAGACAAUUUUUGUUUGCUUGUUUUGGGUUUUUGUUUUGUUUUAUAAGAAAACUUUAGCUACCACUGAAGAGAUUAAUAUAACCUGUAGUUUCUGAAAUAGAAUUUUAUCUUAUUGGUAGCCUUUUAACUAAGUAAUUAUUUUAUAUCAUAUCGGAAAAUUUGGGCCAUUAUAAAUGGAGUUUGCACAAUUCCAAAGAAAGAAAAUGCUGAUACUCAUAUUGCAAGCUUCAUUUACACUAAAUCAUACCAAGCCAAAAAAAAAAA